rnacentral:rRNA from 1 species
AUUGAACGCUGGCGGCAUGCCUAACACAUGCAAGUCGAACGAUUGGAAGACGGGUGAGAAAUGUCUGGGAAACUCCCUGUUGGAGGGGGAUAACUACUGGAAACGUUAGCUAAUACCGCAUACCAUCGGAUUUGCCCAGAUGGGAUUAGCUAGUAGGUGGGUUAAAGGCUAACCUAGGCGACGAUCCCUAGCUGGUCUGAGAGGAUGACCAGCCACACUGGAACUGAGACACGGUCCAGACUCCUACGGGAGGCAGCAGUGGGGAAUAUUGCACAAUGGGCGCAAGCCUGAUGCAGCCAUGCCGCGUGGAUGAAGAAGGCCUUCGGGUUGUAAAGUACUUUCAGCGGGGAGGCGUUACCCGCAGAAGAAGCACCGGCUAACUCCGUGCCAGCAGCCGCGGUAAUUC